CAAGUGCUUGAACGGGCGACGGAUUGUCCCGAGGCCUUCCUCAGCCGCAUUCAUUAAGCAUGUGCAUUUGGUUUCUUUGUUGACUAUGUACUCGCA
rnacentral:lncRNA from 1 species